UACGUAGGGUGCGAGCGUUAACCGGAAUUACUGGGCGUAAAGCGUGCGCAGGCGGCCGAGCAAGUCGAGUGUGAAAGCCCCGAGCUUAACUUGGGAACUGCGCUCGAAACUACUUGGCUGGAGUGUGGCAGAGGAAGGUGGAAUUCCACGUGUAGCGGUGAAAUGCGUAGAGAUGUGGAGGAACACCGAUGGCGAAGGCAGCCUUCUGGGCCAACACUGACGCUCAUGCACGAAAGCGUGGGGAGCAAACAGG
rnacentral:rRNA from 1 species